GAUGAACGCUGGCGGCGCGCCUAACACAUGCAAGUCGAACGGUGACGAGGACUUCGGUCCUCUGAUCAGUGGCGGACGGGUGAGUAACGCGUGAGUAACCUGCCCUUAUGAGUGGAAUAACGUCUGGAAACGGACGCUAAUACCGCAUAAUGCAUCGGGAAGACAUCUUCCUGAUGCCAAAGAUUUAUCGCAUAAGGAUGGACUCGCGUCUGAUUAGAUAGUUGGUGGGGUAACGGCCUACCAAGUCGACGAUCAGUAGCCGGACUGAGAGGUUGAACGGCCACAUUGGAACUGAGAAACGGUCCAG
rnacentral:rRNA from 1 species